AGAGUUUGAUCAUGGCUCAGGAUGAACGCUAGCGGCAGGCUUAACACAUGCAAGUCGAGGGGUAACGGGGAAGCUUGCUUCCGCCGACGACCGGCGCACGGGUGCGUAACGCGUAUACAAUCUACCUUAUACUGGGGUAUAGCCUUUAGAAAUGAAGAUUAACCCCCCAUAGUCUCUUAGAGUGGCAUCACUUCUAGAGUAAAGGUUACGGUAUAAGAUGAGUAUGCGUUCUAUUAGUUUGUUGGUGUGGUAACGGCACACCAAGACUACGAUAGAUAGGGGCCCUGAGAGGGGGAUCCCCCACACUGGUACUGAGACACGGACCAGACUCCUACGGGAGGCAGCAGUGAGGAAUAUUGGACAAUGGAGGCAACUCUGAUCCAGCCAUGCCGCGUGCAGGAAGACUGCCCUAUGGGUUGUAAACUGCUUUUAUACAGGAAGAAACACCUCUACGUGUAGAGGCUUGACGGUACUGUAAGAAUAAGGAUCGGCUAACUCCGUGCCAGCAGCCGCGGUAAUACGGAGGAUCCAAGCGUUAUCCGGAAUCAUUGGGUUUAAAGGGUCCGUAGGUGGAUAAUUAAGUCAGAGGUGAAAUCUUGCAGCUCAACUGUAAAAUUGCCUUUGAAACUGGUUAUCUUGAGUUAUUAUGAAGUAGUUAGAAUAUGUAGUGUAGCGGUGAAAUGCAUAGAUAUUACAUAGAAUACCAAUUGCGAAGGCAGAUUACUAAUAAUCAACUGACACUGAUGGACGAAAGCGUGGGUAGCGAACAGGAUUAGAUACCCUGGUAGUCCACGCCGUAAACGAUGGUUACUAGCUGUUUGGACUUCGGUCUGAGUGGCUAAGCGAAAGUGAUAAGUAACCCACCUGGGGAGUACGUUCGCAAGAAUGAAACUCAAAGGAAUUGACGGGGGCCCGCACAAGCGGUGGAGCAUGUGGUUUAAUUCGAUGAUACGCGAGGAACCUUACCAGGGCUUAAAUGUAAGUUGCAUUAGUUAGAGAUAGCUAUUUCUUCGGACCACUUACAAGGUGCUGCAUGGUUGUCGUCAGCUCGUGCCGUGAGGUGUCAGGUUAAGUCCUAUAACGAGCGCAACCCCUGUUGUUAGUUGCCAGCGAGUCAUGUCGGGAACUCUAACAAGACUGCCAGUGCAAACUGUGAGGAAGGUGGGGAUGACGUCAAAUCAUCACGGCCCUUACGUCCUGGGCUACACACGUGCUACAAUGGUAGGUACAGAGAGCAGCCACUGCGCGAGCAGGAGCGAAUCUAUAAAACCUAUCACAGUUCGGAUCGGAGUCUGCAACUCGACUCCGUGAAGCUGGAAUCGCUAGUAAUCGGAUAUCAGCCAUGAUCCGGUGAAUACGUUCCCGGGCCUUGUACACACCGCCCGUCAAGCCAUGGAAGUUGGAAGUGCCUGAAGUCCGUCACCGUAAGGAGCGGCCUAGGGUAAAGUCGAUAACUAGGGCUAAGUCGUAACAAGGUAA
rnacentral:rRNA from 1 species